UUCAUAUCUUCUGAGGACAAAAGAAAGACCCAAACAUUGGCUAAAACCUUUCUGUGUCACGGUCUGAGGUAUUUCCCUGCUGUCACUCCCUGUCUUUUGAGUUUCCCUCUGCAGGUGGGCAUGUCUGGAGGUGACCAAGCUGCAGCAGAUCUGCUCAUCAGCUGGCCAGGGGUAUUUAAGCAGCUGGGAGACUCCUACACUUUGCUGGAUGAUUACUCUACCUGGGUACCUUCUAACAGCCGCUAGUUUAUCUUGGUCAAGCUCUUUAAGCCUUUUGAGAAUUAGAUUGUGUUUUUGGAUUUUUAAGAAUUUAAUGAGUUUUGGAUUUUUGCCCUUUGACCUCCUGCUCUUGUUCCCAGACAAACCUACACACUCUCAUCUUGGACUGGCAGAACUCUGGAGUCCACACCACCUGGAUCUCCAACCCUGCACGUCUCUCAGCCUCUCCCCUGGCCAGAACCACCUCCAGCUGCCCACCUAAACUUCCUGGACCUCCAUAAACUCAGCUCCCUCCACGUCUCACUUCUGGAUCUCAGUCCCUGCAAGCCACUCAACUUAGACCGGACCACUCCUCCCUCAAACCAGUUCCCUCCUCUCCAGACCUUUUCCCGCACCAGCCUCCCUGUGCAAGAACUCAGCUUCGUUUACGCUGCUCCCUUGGUUUCCCUUCAAUAAAUCCUUAUUUAAACCUUUUAAA